rnacentral:rRNA from 1 species
UACGUAGGGAGCAAGCGUUGUCCGGAAUCAUUGGGCGUAAAGCGCGCGUAGGCGGCCCUGUAAGUCCGUUGUGAAAGUCAAAGGCUCAACCUUUGAAAGCCGAUGGAUACUGCAGGGCUAGAGUCCGGAAGAGGCGAGUGGAAUUCCUGGUGUAGCGGUGGAAUGCGCAGAUAUCAGGAGGAACACCAAUAGCGAAGGCAGCUCGCUGGGACGGUACUGACGCUAAGGCGCGAAAGCGUGGGGAGCGAAC